GUAGGUGGCAAGCGUUGUCCGGAAUUAUUGGGCGUAAAGCGCGCGCAGGUGGUUCUUUAAGUCUGAUGUGAAAGCCCCCGGCUCAACCGGGGAGGGUCAUUGGAAACUGGGGAACUUGAGUGCAGGAGAGGAAAGUGGAAUUCCACGUGUAGCGGUGAAAUGCGUAGAUAUGUGGAGGAACACCAGUGGCGAAGGCGACUUUCUGGCCUGUAACUGACACUGAGGCGCGAAAGCGUGGGGAGCAAACAGGGAUUAGAUACCCUGGUAGUCCACGCCGUAACGAUGAGUGCUGAGUGUUGGGGGGGUUUCCGCCCCCUCAGUGCUGCAGCUAACGCAUUAAGCACUCCGCCUGGGAGUACGGCCGCAAGACUG
rnacentral:rRNA from 1 species